UUCUAUUUACUAUUUUUGGGGCAGAAUUAGUCACAUUUACUUGCCAUUGUAACUUUUAAUGGCCAAAUUUGUGCUCUUAUAUGUAGCAGAUGAACGAGAAAUUGCAGUGGACUUCUACCAUCGACUUCAACUUUUUCACCACGUAUGUUGAGUGGAAGCAAACGAAAAAAUGGGACAAUCACAAGACAAAUGACCAGAAUUAUGAUAUGCUUGCCACAUAUUUGAGGGAACAUUUUGAGAUGCAAGUCACCG
rnacentral:lncRNA from 1 species